GCUGCCAGUCUGACUCAGGAUAAAUCUGCAAGAAGCACAAGACCUUCCCCCGAUGUAGUAUCUGUUGGACAAGGCAAUCACAGGACCCUCCCACAGUGAAAAAUAAGGAGAAAUAAACUUCACACUUCGAUGGAGACAAGAAUAUCUCUGAAAAGAACAGGUGUUAAGACAUUCAAAAUGGAAACACUGGAACAUAAGUUAACAAAAACAUAUUCCUAGGAAUCAGGACCUUGUGGUGAGCAUAAUAGGAACAUUGAUAUUGAAGCUGAGCUUGAAAAGUAGAGCAGUGUGGAUUUACUGGCCUUCAUAAGCAGGGUCUGCAAAAGAAAUGGUCUUUCUUAACCGGAGGUGAUAUGUUGACACAAUAUUCAGUUUGCAAAUGCAGAAGGGAAAAGAGAGGAAGGAAGAAGAAAUGUUUGUCUUCACUCUACUAAAAAGACUUCCCAGAAGUCACAAACAAUUUUUGCACUUAAUAUCUCAUCAAUCAAUACUAAGACACAUGACCACAACUAACUACAAGGAAACAGUAAAUGCCAUACCUAGAUAGGUAUAUAUAUGCAGAAAAAAACUGAGGCUCUAUUAAUCUGAGGAAAAUUAUUUUAUGGAGAUCCAGUAAUCAGUACCACAAUCAGUGUAAAAUCAGUUGGCUCAGACAAGCAGGGCACUAUAAACCAUAGAAAUUUUAUGUAACAACUUAUAAGUGUUGCAACGAUGUAUACUUUUCCAUUUAUCAUUUUAAACCUUGAUUUAUCACAUACCAUCCAAUAGUAAACACACAUUGAAUAUACUGUGAGGGGAAAAAAAAACGGCUGUUUAUCUGUUGCCAGGGAAUUAUUUUCUUUUGGUCAAAACAUACCAAAAAGACACUCAGUGACAGAAAGUUGAUUGUAUUCAUGAAAUCUUUUCUAUUUUCUCAACACUGGAAGAGAAGAAUACAUAUUAGCUCACAAGUCCUCUUUUAAUGAAGUCAUUUGUUCCUAUUCAGGUAGAAACUAUCAUUUCAUUUGGCACAUUCAUUUUUUAUGGAGGUAAAUAUGUAUAUACCAGAGAAGGAUAGCAUAAAAAAUAUAGAAUUUCUUUAUUGUUUAGACUAAAAAUCUUAAUUAUUAAGAGAGUAAAUCUACUCAAUUAAUAUGUUAAAUAAUACAAUAAUAUAUCAUAAACAGAUGAGUAUUUCUUUCAGGAACAUAUUACAUAGUAUAUUAACAUAUUUUUUUUCAAUAACAAAGAUGAAGAGUAUUAUUAUCUAAGUAGAUUCUUAUUAUGUAUUUCUUGUCAAACACAACUAAACUCAGCUAAGAAUACAAGGAAUUAUUUCCCAACUCAUAAAGUAUAUGUGUGAAAUUUAAGGGAAAAGAACUCUUUGAGGUAAAUAGUUUAUUCAAAGAUAAACAAGAUAAAGAUAUUUCUUAUUCAAAUAGUACUGACAUUUUAGAUAAUGCAUUAUUACUAAAUAAAAUAAGUAAGAAUAAAUAAUGUAUAUAGAAAGAUCCAAACUUUUAAGUUUUAUAGAUAAUAGUAUAGCCACUAUAAAAAUCCAAUAACUUAAUUUGGAUUAUUAUUAGAAAACAAUAAUGGAUUUUCAAAACUGAUUAGAAUGUGUAACUAAAAUAUAUAUGAUGGUCAAGUAUAGCAUUAAAUUAAAAAAUUAACAGAGUUAAUCCCAAACAAGGAGCUGAAAUGUUGUUACUGCUCUCUGUCAUCAUGGAACCAGGCCCAUUGAUGGAAUGUUCCCUGCUCCUGAGGUCAAUAGCCUUUGCAUCAUUCUAUCUCUGAACCUUACAACACUGUGUGCACCAAGAGGUAUGCCAAUCCGGAGCAGAGCUUCUGAAAUCCCCUAUCCUCUGGGUCAACUAAAGCUGCUCUAUCUCCCCCACACUCCAGUUGCUCUUGCACUCUCCCUCUGUGGCCAGACUGCAGUAAUUUUCACCCCCUCAGAGAUUAAGUCUCAGAGCAGAUAUAUUUUGAGCACAAGAAAUGAGGCAGCACCUACCCUGUGGAGAUCUCAGGCCUCUGGCACACCAGGGCAAUCACCUCACACACACGCUUUUCAGUGCUGCAGGUGAGGAGAACCCUGCCCCUAGGAGCACUCACACUGGAUAAUCAGAGCAUUUAUACUGCCUACUGUUACAAUUGAUGAGGUACCCUAGGUCCAGGGAUCCAGAGCUCUGUUCAUCCAAGUAACCUUUCUUUGGGGGCAGCGGGGGUGUUCAGCAGAUGUGGUUCUUCUCUGGAGCAUUAGAGCCUUGACUGAGCUGAGCCACCCUGCAGUUCAGAUUGAGAAGUCCCCACACCUUAUCUGUCUGGAAUUGGACUAGAUCACCACAGUUCAAGCUGCUAAAACAGAAUGUCUGGGAAGAGAGACAUCACAGUGCUGCAUCUUGACCCCAAAGUCCAAGCCAUAUGGCAUUUUAUCAUUUCUGGAUCUUUGCUGCUAUGGCAACUGUCCUCACAGAACCUCAUUUCUGCCAUGUCUCACCACCCCAAGAUCCAGAAUCACCGAUGACUGGUAGGUCCAUGCCCUCUUAAUUUUAGGGCCCAAAAGAUUGCUAUGUCCCGCUCUCCAGGGCCAGAACCUCUUCCACAGAGCCAUGUUAGUACUCUAUUCUGAUACCAGAGCCAGAAUUGGGAUGAGCCUCAAAAACGACAGUCCCAACUCCGUGGGAGAAUUACAUCCUCUCAUGCUCUGAAUAUUUAAGAGCAGUUUAAUAACAUCUUCCUUAAAAAGUUAGGUAGUAAAUAUUUUCUAUUUUAUUGGUGGUAUGGUCUCUGUUGAAACUAUCUGCUAUAGACCAUAGUCAGAGGCAAUACCUAAGUAUAGCUGUUUUCUAACAAAAUUUGAUUUAUAGACAUUGAAAUUUUAAUUGCAUACAGUUUCUCUGUAUCAUGAAAUAUUUUUCUUUCAAUAUUUUUCACUUUUUAAAGAUUAAAAAAAACAUUCGUAGUUCAUGAUCUUAUAAAAUAAGGCAGUGAUCCUGAUUUGGUCCACAGAAACUAAUUUUUGAGCCCUACUGAAGAUAACAUCACUUGAAUUUAGCCCAGAUGUUAAAAACAGAGUGAUUUCUGAAUGCAUUCUUAAGUAGAUUUCUUAGUGAAUCCCCACUAGUACUUCCAAUUUUUUAAGAAGUGUCCACUAAGAGACUUCUGCUUUUUGGCUAUUUGUGGAACAUAGAAUAAUGCCACAUACUCACUUACAAUCAGUGAGCAUUCAUGGACAACAAACUGCCACACAUUUGUUAAAUUUCAAACAUUUUGUUUUAUUCCUGCAUAUUUUAAAUGCUACAUAUAAACCAUACAUUCAUAAUUCCACAAAAAUAAAAUAAUCUUUAGGUUCCCUGGAAGUUAAAAGUUAUAAAAUAUCCCUGCUCUUGUAAUAUCUCCUUUAAAUGUAUAUCCAUCCCAUGAGAAGCUUGAGGAUUAUUUUUGUUAUCAUUGUCAUGUUGUUGUAUUUUGCUUCUUUCUUAUCACUUAGUGCAUUUCAAACAGUAAAUUCUACAGAGUCUAAUUCAUGAGAAGGAAAACUUGAGACAUGAUAACUUUUGAAAAAUUACCUAAGCUGUCUUCUAGUAUCUUCCAUCAAUGACUACAGACAUACUUGGAAAAACACACUUAAUGUUCAUUCUUUUUCUAUUAAUCAUUCUUAAAGAAAUACUGUCAAAGCAGAAUCACUGGAAGAGCAAAGUAUAUGAUGGCUUCAGUUCCUUUUGCCACUGUAUGACUUUAUGAGACCUACUUCAUCUACACUCUUGCUUCUGAUAGAGGAGGUUUUAAACUAUUCCUUUGCCCUAGUGCUUGCAGUAAAAGACAGCAAAUACACAUAGACAAACCUUUUAUCUUCUUUAUUUGCAAGAAGUAAUAUUUAUUGAGUAGUAGCUCAAAGGGUUGACUAUUUUGAAUCUGUUUUUACUUGACAUAUUAUAAUAACUAUAUAUAUUUAUGGAUUCCGUAUGAUAUUUUGAUAUAUAUGUUGCACAAAACUAAAAGCAAGGUAUUUAUGAUAUCCAUCAUUUCAUAUAUUCAUCAUUUCUUUGGGGUGAGAAGAUUCAAAAUCAUCUUUUUAAGACAAAUAUCUCCAUUUGCCAUCUGACUCUCCCCAGUUUCUGGUAUAUACUAUUGUACAUUCUGCUUCAAUGAGAUUAACAUUUUUCGAUCCCACUUGUAAGUGAAAAUGUGCAAUAUUGGUUGUUGUUAUUGUUUCGUUUUGUUUUUGUGCCUGGCUGGCUUAUGUCACAUAACAUAAUGUUCUUUGUGUUAAACAUGCUACUGCAAAUGACAGAUUUUAUUUUUUUAAGGUUGAAUAUUAUUCUAUUGUGUAUAUACACCAUGUUUUUUUUUUUUGUCCAUUAGUCUGUUGAUGAAUACUUACGUUUGAGUCCAUAUCUUGGUGAGUGUGAGCAAUGCUAUAAUAAAGAGAAG